CUAGCUGUAAACGAUGGAUACUAGGCGUUGAGAGUAUCGACCCUCUCAGUGUCGUAGCUAACGCGUUAAGUAUCCCGCCUGGGGAGUACGCGCGCAAGCGUGAAACUCAAAGGAAUUGACGGGGGCCCGCACAAGUGGUGGAGUAUGUGGUUUAAUUCGAUGCAACGCGAAGAACCUUACCAGGGCUUGACAUGUCCGGAACCCUGCCCAAAGGCGGGGGUGCCUACGGGAACCGGAACACAGGUGGUGC
rnacentral:rRNA from 1 species